ACAUCACUGACACGGAAGUCAGGUUAAGCUGGAUGACUGAGAUAGUGUGGGAACUACAGGAGAUUGCCAUACUCCAUGUGUUAAUACAUCAGCGGAAGCUUGUUGUGCCCGGCUGUAACAAGAGAGAUGUCAGUUGAGCGAAGUCAGUACAGUGCAUGCAGCCUGCAGUCCUGAGAAGACGUCUAACGAAGCAGAACAGGUGAAAAAAAAACUGUAGAGGUGGAAUAUGGGCGUGGAGCAGCGUAAGGGAGGGGCACCAAAUCUUUCGUAAAGCAAUUGUCACAAGAAAAGGAAAAGAAAGGAAAGAGUUAGUGGUCAGUGCAAUGCAUCAUCCUGUCCGUACUGGCCACAUAAAGACCUUCACUGAAGCAAUUUUAGGCACUGCAGCCUGAUUUGACCAAUCAGAUCCAAAUCACAACGUGACGAGAGCUGCAGAUGAAAGAAGGCAACACGAAAGAGUUUUCCUCAACAGUAGCUAAUGAAAAGAUGGUGUGUACUUUGCUUCUCACUGCUGAUAUGUUGGAAAAUGAUCUGUUUACAGAAAUGAACAAGAGAACAAUUACAAUGUACGUACGUAAAGUACAAAACUAACACACGGGCAUGUAAAUAUUCUUUUGUGAUGAAUAAACAAUCCUACGCAGGGACGGUAGCGCUUGCAACUUGUAUAGAAGCUUACAUAUAAAUAUAAUCUUAAAUUGAUGUUCCCUUAAAAAAAUCAAGUUAUUGCUUGAUUACUCUUGUUGUUAUCUGUCUUCAUAUGGAGAUGUACAUUCAUUAACGUUUUAUAAACGUGUAAUUAAUAUACUGGUCAAUGUUAAUAAAUCAUUUCCAAGUAGCAGACAUUAACGGGAAAUGUUUGAGUAGUAAGAUUAAAAUCCCCUCUAAGCUCUUAAAUUUGUCACAUUUAAUGAACUGUUUGGCUGCUUAAUUUCUCAAACAGGGCUGCAGGACAGAAAAUGUAUAAAACAUGGAGUUUGACUAGCAGCAAAAUGUGUCAGAUGUUGUUACACACCGAAUACUGUCAGUAUUCAACUCUCAUUGUCUUUCCUAUUCAAAUAAAAUGUUUUGGGUGA